rnacentral:rRNA from 1 species
UAGGGAAUAUUGCAAAAUGGGCGAAAGCCCGAUGCAGCAACGCCGCGUGGGCGAUGAAGGCCUUCGGGUCGUAAAGCCCUUUUUGAGGGGAUGAGGAAGGACAGUACCCUCAGAAUAAGCCUCGGCCAACUACGUGCCAGCAGCCGCGGUAAAACGUAGGAGGCGAGCGUUAUCCGGAUUUACUGGGCGUAAAGCGCGUGCAGGCGGAUUGGAGAGUUGGAUGUGAAAGCUCCCGGCUUAACUGGGAGAGGUCGUUCAAUACUUCCAGUCUUGAGUGCAGUAGAGGGAAGUGGAAUUCCGGGUGUAGUGGUGAAAUGCGUAGAUAUCCGGAGGAACACCAGUGGCGAAAGCGGCUUCCUGGACUGUAACUGACGCUCAGACGCGAAAGCUAGGGUAGCAAACG